CAGUCGCCACGGUAAUACGUAGGGUGCGAGCGUUAAUCGGAAUUACUGGGCGUAAAGCGUGCGCAGGCGGUUCGUUAAGACAGAUGUGAAAUCCCUGGGCUUAACCUGGGAACUGCAUUUGUGACUGGCGAGCUAGAGUAUGGCAGAGGGGGGUAGAAUUCCACGUGUAGCAGUGAAAUGCGUAGAGAUGUGGAGGAAUACCGAUGGCGAAGGCAGCCCCCUGGGCCAAUACUGACGCUCAUGCACGAAAGCGUGGGGAGCAAACAGGAUUAGAUACCCGAGUAGUCCCUGUCUCUUAUAC
rnacentral:rRNA from 1 species